AGUGAACGCUGGCGGUAGGCCUAACACAUGCCAGUCGAACGGCAGCACAGUAAGAGCUUGCUCUUACGGGUGGCGAGUGGAGGACGGGUGAGGAAUACAUCGGAAUCUACCUUUUCGUGGGGGAUAACGUAGGGAAACUUACGCUAAUACCGCAUACGACCUACGGGUGAAAGCAGGGGAUCUUCGGACCUUGCGCGAUUGAAUGAGCCGAUGUCGGAUUAGCUAGUUGGCGGGGUAAAGGCCCACCAAGGCGACGAUCCGUAGCUGGUCUGAGAGGAUGAUCAGCCACACUGGAACUGAGACACGGUCCAGACUCCUACGGGAGGCAGCAGUGGGGAAUAUUGGACAAUGGGCGCAAGCCUGAUCCAGCCAUACCGCGUGGGUGAAGAAGGCCUUCGGGUUGUAAAGCCCUUUUGUUGGGAAAGAAAAGCAGCAGGUUAAUACCCCGCUGUUCUGACGGUACCCAAAGAAUAAGCACCGGCUAACUUCGUG
rnacentral:rRNA from 1 species